UGUGAGAUGCACCGAGCCAUCAUCAAUAUAUAGGGAAAAUCACAUAGACACCCCUUUUGGUUUGAGUCAUUUGGAUUUGGAUCCAGUUGCGAUAGAAAUCUAUCUUGAGUCAGAUUGGCUGGAGCUUAUCAACAAUCGCAUAUCGGUGACGGUAAGAUGAUAGCGGUAGGAUCUGUAAGAUAAGUCUCCGACUGGAGUUGACUUCGAUGGAGACCCUCCAAUGCUUAAGUUAAAAUUCUGAAAC
rnacentral:lncRNA from 1 species